rnacentral:rRNA from 1 species
GGCGAACGCUGGCGGCAUGCUUAACACAUGCAAGUCGCGCGGGUGGUUUCGGCCAUUAGCGGCGGACCGGUUAGUAUCGCGUAGGAAUGUAUCCCGAGGUGGGGGACAACCCUGGGAAACUGGGUCUAAUACCGCAGGGGGCCUGUGGGUCAAAGCCUUAGGUCGCCUUUGGAGCAGCGUGCGUCCGAUUGGGUAGUUGGUGGGGUAAAGGCAUACCAAGCCUUCGCUCGGUAGCUGGUUUGAGAGGCUGCUCAGCCACACUGGGAAUGAGACACGGCCCAGAAUCCUACGCAAGGCAGGAGUGGGGAAUAUUGGACGAUGGGCGCAAGCCUGAUACAGCAAUGCCGGGGAGGUGAAGAAGGUCUUCGGAUUGUAAAGCCCUUUCGGCGGGGACGAUGAUGACGGUACCCGCAGAAGAAGUCCCGGCUAACUUCGUG